UUAGGUAAUGUAACGGUUAGUUAGUUGUUUGUGUGUGGUUAGGGUUAGGUAAGGGUUAGUUAGUUGUGUGUGUAUGGUUAGGGUUAGUUAGGUGUGUGUGUGUGGUUAGGGUUAUGUAAGGGUUAGUUGUGUGUGUGUGGUUAGGGUUAGUUAGGUGUGUGUGUGUGUGGUUAGGGUUAGGUAAGGGUUAGUUAGUUGUGUGUGUGUGUGGUUAGGGUAAGGGUUAGUUAGUUAUGUGUGUGGUUAGGUUAGGUAAGGGUUAGUUAGUUGUGUGUGUGUGUGUGGUUAGGGUUAGGUAAGAUUUAGUUGUGUGUGUGUGGUUAGGGUUAAUUAGGUGUGUGUGUGUGUGUGUGUGUGUGGUUAGGGUUAGGUAAGGGUUAGUUAGGUGUGUGUGUGUGGUUAGGGUUAGUUAGGUGUGUGUGUUUAGGGUUAGAUAGGUGUGUGUGUGUGUGUUUAGGGUUAGUUAGGUGUGUGUGUGUGUUUAGGGUUAUUUAGGUGUGUGUGUGUGUGUGUGUGUGUUUAGGGUUAGUUAGGUGUGUGUGUGUGUGUGUGUGUGUGUUUAGGGUUAGUUAGGUGUGUGUGUGUGGUUAGGGUUAGGUAAGGGUUAGUUAGUUGUGUGUGUGUGGUUAGGGUAAGGGUUAGUUAGUUGUGUGUGUGUGGUUAGGGUAAGGGUUAGUUAGUUGUGUGUGUGUGUG